GAUGAACGCUGGCGGCGUGCCUAAUACAUGCAAGUCGAGCGAACAGACGAGGAGCUUGCUCCUCCGACGUUAGCGGCGGACGGGUGAGUAACACGUAGGUAACCUACCUAUAAGACUGGGAUAACUUCGGGAAACCGGAGCUAAUACCGGAUAAUAUUUCGAACCGCAUGGUUCGAUAGUGAAAGAUGGCUUUGCUAUCACUUAUAGAUGGACCUGCGCCGUAUUAGCUAGUUGGUAAGGUAACGGCUUACCAAGGCAACGAUACGUAGCCGACCUGAGAGGGUGAUCGGCCACACUGGAACUGAGACACGGUCCAGACUCCUACGGGAGGCAGCAGUAGGGAAUCUUCCGCAAUGGGCGAAAGCCUGACGGAGCAACGCCGCGUGAGUGAUGAAGGUCUUCGGAUCGUAAAACUCUGUUAUUAGGGAAGAACAAACGUGUAAGUAACUGUGCGCGUCUUGACGGUACCUAAUCAGAAAGCCACGGCUAACUACGUG
rnacentral:rRNA from 1 species